rnacentral:rRNA from 1 species
AUGAACAGAACCAUCAUCUCCAGGGUUCACUGCAUGUUGUCCAAUGCUCGCAUGGACAAAUGUUUUUGGGCUGAAGCCGCCUCCACCGCCUUCUAUCUCAUCAACAGGUCACCAUCCAUUCCACUUAAUAAGAAAACUCCCAUCAAUGUAUGGUUUGGUACACCGGCUGAUUAUUCACAGUUGAGAGUUUUCGGUUGCACCACAUAUGCACAUGUUCAUAAUGGAAAACUUGAGCCUAGAGCUCUUAGGUGUGCGUUUGUUGGUUACGGUUCAGGAGUAAAAGGAUACAUGUUAUGGAUCCUGGAACUUUUAAGGUUUUUGUGA